CGGAUCGCAGGCUNCAACCCGCCUGCGUGAAGUUGGAAUCGCUAGUAAUCGCGGAUCAGCAUGCCGCGGUGAAUACGUUCCCGGGCCUUGUACACACCGCCCGUCACACCAUGAGAGUCGGGAACACCCGAAGUCCGUAGCCUAACCGCAAGGGGGGCGCGGCCGAAGGUGGGUUCGAUAAUUGGGGGUGAAGUCGUAACAAGGUACC
rnacentral:rRNA from 1 species